AGGUCCAUCUAUUUAUGUCCCCCACUAUAGUAGUGGGGGACAUAUUGUUUUUGCCCUGUCUGUUGGUUGGUCUGUCUGUCUGUCUCUCUGUCUGUUUGUGCCAACUUAAACAUUUUGCAAUAACUUUUGCUAUAUUGAAGAUAGCAACUUCAUAUUUGGCAUGCAUGUGUAUCUCAUGAAGCUGCACAUUUUGAGUGGUGAAAGGUCAAGGUCAAGGUCAUCCUUCAAGGUCAGAGGUCAAAUAUAUGUGGCCAAAAUCGCUCAUUUUAUGAAUACUUUUGCAAUAUUGAAGAUAGCAACUUGAUAUUUGGCAUGCAUGUGUAUCUCAUGGAGCUGCACAUUUUGAGUGGUGAAAGGUCAAGGUCAUCCUUCAAGGUCAGAGGUCAAUUAUAUGUGGCCAAAAUCGUUCAUUUUAUGAAUACUUUUGCUAUAUUGAAGAUAGCAACUUGAUAUUUGGCAUGCAUGUGCAUCUCAUGGAGCUGCUCAUUUUGAGUGGUGAAAGGUCAAGGUCAAGGUCAUCCUUCAAGGUCAGAGGUCAAAUAUAUGUGGCCCAAAUCGCUUAUUUUAUUAAUACUUUUGCAAUAUUGAAGAUAGCAACUUGAUAUUUGGCAUGCAUGUGUAUCUCAUGGAGCUGCACAUUUUGAGUGGUGAAAGGUCAAGGUCAAGGUCAUCCUUCACAAGGUCAAGGUCAUCCUACAAUGUCAAACAUCAUAUAGGGGGACAUUGUGUUUCACAAACACAUCUU